GAGCAAAGUCAUUUACUUACAAGAGCAACUUUGGGUAGAUAAAUAUGCACCAAAGUCAUUUACUGAGCUUCUUAGUGAUGAACAAACAAAUCGUGAGGUACUCUUAUGGUUGAAACAAUGGGACUCUACUGUUUUUGGCUCUGAUAUGGUGUUGUAAUAAGUGAAGACAUUUCUUAAUACAUCUUUCGUUUGUUUCUUGUUAGACUUCCAUGAUACAUGGGCCAUCCUGGAUGUUCGAGUGAAAGAUGCUUUUGAUCUAAAGAAAACCAUUUAAGAGCUCCACCAAACAUUGCUGGGAAUCAUUCUGAGAGGGGGAUAUUGAGCUCGGUUAUGUACUUGUUGGGCACAAGGUUGUAAGAAAAAUAUAAAAUACAGAAAAUGAGGGACCCUGAGGUGAUCUUGAGACCCCAGACCUGCUAUUAAUUUUCCAUUGCUUUUGUAAUUAUACAUGCGUUUUGCUUAGUUAGUGAAUUUCGACUAGAUAGGAGGUUGAAGGGUUUUUUGUUACUGAAAAAACCUGGAAAGUUUUGUAUAAGGAUUAAUGUAUAAAACAAUUAUACCAAAAAUUGUCACUAAUUACUGUUUAAUUUAUCUUGUAAUAAAAAUUGCAUACUAUAUUUA